UAGGGGAUAUUGCACAAUGGGCGGAAGCCUGAUGCAGCAACGCCGCGUGAGUGAUGAAGGCCCUCGGGUCGUAAAACUCUUUUCAAGAGGAAGAGGAAGGACGGUACUCUUGGAAUAAGCCUCGGCUAACUACGUGCCAGCAGCCGCGGUAACACGUAGGAGGCGAGCGUUAUUCGGAUUUACUGGGCGUAAAGCGCGUGUAGGCGGCUGAUCAAGUUGGAUGUGAAAGCUCCCGGCUUAACUGGGAGAGGACGUUCAAAACUGAACAGCUUGAGUAUGAGAGAGGAAAAUGGAAGUCCGGGUGUAGUGGUGAAAUGCGUAGAUAUCCGGAGGAACACCAGGGGCGAAGGCGAGUUUCGGGCGCAAGACUGACGCUCAGACGCGAAAGCUAGGGUAGCAAACGG
rnacentral:rRNA from 1 species